AUAAGGGCGCACGGUGGAUGCCUUGGCACUAGGAGCCGAUGAAGGACGGGACUAACACCGAUAUGCUUUGGGGAGCUGUACGUAAGCUAUGAUCCAGAGAUUUCCGAAUGGGGGAACCCAGCAUCUUUUAUAGGAUGUUACGUUUGCGUGAAUACAUAGCGCAUUCGAGGUAGACGCAGAGAACUGAAACAUCUAAGUACCUGCAGGAAGAGAAAGAAAAUUCGAUUCCCUGAGUAGCGGCGAGCGAAACGGGAAAAGCCCAAACCAAUGAGCUUGCUCAUUGGGGUUGUAGGACUCCAAUAUGGUAGUUCUUUCAGAUAGUCGAAUGACUUGGAAAAGUCAGUCAAAGAGGGUAAAAACCCCGUAGAUGAAAUUUGGAAGGCACCUAGGAGGAUCCUGAGUACGGCGGAACACGAGGAAUUCCGUCGGAAUCCGGGAGGACCAUCUCCCAAGGCUAAAUACUCCCUAGUGACCGAUAGUGAACCAGUACCGUGAGGGAAAGGUGAAAAGCACCCCGGAAGGGGAGUGAAAUAGAACCUGAAACCGUGUGCCUACAACAAGUCAAAGCCCGUUAAUGGGUGAUGGCGUGCCUUUUGUAGAAUGAACCGGCGAGUUACGAUUGCAUGCGAGGUUAAGUUGAAGAGACGGAGCCGCAGCGAAAGCGAGUCUGAAUAGGGCGUUUGAGUAUGUAGUCGUAGACCCGAAACCAUGUGAUCUACCCAUGUCCAGGUUGAAGGUGCGGUAAAACGCACUGGAGGACCGAACCCACGUACGUUGAAAAGUGCGGGGAUGAGGUGUGGGUAGCGGAGAAAUUCCAAACGAACUUGGAGAUAGCUGGUUCUCUCCGAAAUAGCUUUAGGGCUAGCCUCGGAAUUGAGAAUGAUGGAGGUAGAGCACUGUUUGGACUAGGGGCCCAUCUCGGGUUACCGAAUUCAGAUAAACUCCGAAUGCCAUUCAUUCAUAUCCGGGAGUCAGACUGUGAGUGAUAAGAUCCAUAGUCGAAAGGGAAACAGCCCAGACCACCAGCUAAGGUCCCAAAAUAUAUGUUAAGUGGAAAAGGAUGUGGGGUUGCACAGACAACUAGGAUGUUGGCUUAGAAGCAGCCACCAUUUAAAGAGUGCGUAAUAGCUCACUAGUCGAGUGACCCUGCGCCGAAAAUGUACCGGGGCUAAACAUAUUACCGAAGCUGUGGAGUACACCUUUAGGUGUAUUGGUAGGAGAGCGUUCUAAGGGCGUUGAAGGCAGAUCGUGAGGACUGCUGGAGCGCUUAGAAGUGAGAAUGCCGGUAUGAGUAGCGAAAGACAGGUGAGAAUCCUGUCCACCGAAUGACUAAGGUUUCCUGGGGAAGGCUCGUCCGCCCAGGGUUAGUCGGGACCUAAGCCGAGGCCGACAGGCGUAGGCGAUGGACAACAGGUUGAUAUUCCUGUACUCGUUGUUUUUGUUUGAGCAAUGGAGGGACGCAGGAGGCUAAGGAAUGCAGACGAUUGGAAAUGUCUGUCUAAGCAGUAAGUCUUGAUAGGAGUCAAAUGCUUCUGUCUGUACGGACAAGCUGUGAUGGGGAGGGAAAUAAUAGUACCGAAGUUCCUGAUGUCACACUGCCGAGAAAAGCUUCUAGUGAGAAAACA
rnacentral:rRNA from 1 species